AUCCAGCUGACGAGUCCCGAAUAGGAUUGAGCGCGCGUCCUGGAU
rnacentral:hammerhead_ribozyme from 1 species